ACGCUCGACACCUACGGGAGACAGCAGUGAGGAAUAUUGGUCAAUGGGCGCUAGCCUGAACCAGCCAAGUAGCGUGAAGGAUGAAGGCUCUAUGGGUCGUAAACCUCUUUUAUAUAAGAAUAAAGUGCAGUAUGUAUACUGUUUUGUAUGUAUUAUAUGAAUAAGGAUCGGCUAACUCCGUGCCAACAGCCGCGGUAAUCUGAGCGGGCUGGCAAGGC
rnacentral:rRNA from 1 species